rnacentral:tRNA from 2 species
GGGCCAUUAGCUCAGUUGGUUAGAGCAACCGGCUCAUAACCGGUCGGUCCUGGGUUCGAGUCCCCGAUGGCCCA